GGUUGAAUAGGCGUAACCAGAAAAUCGUCGCCACUUAAAAUAAGUUUAUCAAUGACUUUCGGAUUAUUUCGAAAAUACUUCUGGAGAUUCUGCAAAUUAUGAAAUUUUCGAAGAAAUCUCUAGAAUCUCUGAAGAUAGAAAACACAUGCCUUAAGCAGCGGAAUGAAAUCUGUCUGCCUGGAAAUCAGAACCUCCAGUUUCAAAACCGGAACCUCCAAUUUUAGCUCGGGCAGAGAGAAACCCUUAAACCAUAAGCAAUGCAAGUGAGGUAAAGAUCAAACCAGGUUUAGACAAUGUGCUCAUAUGGUGUAUCUUAGUAUAAACACAAAGUUCCUGCACUUAACAAACACUAACACCUGAGUAGAUCAACCAAUGUUAUAAGAUUAACAAUGAAGUAGAAGUGAAAAGCAAAUGUAAGCAACUAGUGAGGAGACACAAUGAUUUGUUU
rnacentral:lncRNA from 1 species